ACAGGUGCUGCAUGGCUGUCGUCAGCUCGUGUCGUGAGAUGUUGGGUUAAGUCCCGCAACGAGCGCAACCCUUGUCUUUAGUUGCCAUCAUUAAGUUGGGCACUCUAAAGAGACUGCCGGUGUCAAACCGGAGGAAGUGGGGAUGACGUCAAGUCCUCAUGGCCUUUAUGACCAGGGCUACACACGUACUACAAUGGCAGGUACAAAGGGCAGCCACUUAGCGAUAAGGCGCGAAUCCCGUAAAACCUGUCUCAGUCCGGAUUGGAGUCUGCAACUCGACUCCAUGAAGUUGGAAUCGCUAGUAAUCGCAGAUCAGCACGCUGCGGUGAAUACGUUCCCGGGCCUU
rnacentral:rRNA from 1 species